rnacentral:tRNA from 1 species
CAAGGUCCCUUGCCAAACUGUAACAGUGGAUUGAAAUAUUUAUUAACAACUGAAUUUUCUCCUGACUCUAAGAUCCAUGACAUCCCUGAAGCCAAUCCAGGCCCUGAGCUUGUUUCAGAGUAUCAGCUAACCUGACUCUUCAUGUAAUGCUUAUCUUAAAUUGCAAGGAAAUCCUUGAUCAGAGAAGUCACAAGCAGCAAUACUUCCGUGUUCUCCGAGUUCUGAAGCAGUGCGAAGUCGCAGACAGCACGCAGGCGACUGCCAGUGACGGCGGGUCUCGCACUACGCGUCAAACAGAGAUGGCUUCGCCAGCAGAGCGCUUGUUACUCGUGAGUCCUUCGAUAGCUCAGUUGGUAGAGCGGAGGACUGUAGUGGCAGCUCGCUGGUAUCCUUAGGUCGCUGGUUCGAAUCCGGCUCGAAGGAACUUACACUUUUAGUGAGUUCAAGGCAUGUCCUAGUUGUUGGUAUCCUCAAGGGUCAAUUUAAAGCGAUUUUUGAUGUGCAAGCCGUCUCGCUAAAUUAUUAAAAUCUUUAGUUAUUUUGAAUACCCACACUUCGAUUCCAUUGGACCUAUUUUAACCCUCAGAAAACUCUCUGACCCGGCAAAGCGAAUCAGAGGUAGGCCCACCCCGCCAGGGCUCCGGAGAUGGAUCCACACACACUCUCGACCUCAGAUUCCAAGCCUGGGAGGGUCGACCGGAGAAGAGUCGCCAGGCCGGUGGGCAUCGAUGGGACACGCGCGCCCCCUGCAGGUCGGAGUGCUUAGCAACUGGGGCUCAUUUGUC